UACGAAGGGGGCUAGCAUUGCUCGGAAUCACUGGGCGUAAAGCGCACGUAGGCGGAUUGCUAAGUCAGGGGUGAAAUCCUGGAGCUCAACUCCAGAACUGCCCUUGAUACUGGCGGUCUCGAGUCCGGGAGAGGUGAGUGGAACUGCGAGUGUAGAGGUGAAAUUCGUAGAUAUUCGCAAGAACACCAGUGGCGAAGGCGGCUCACUGGCCCGGUACUGACGCUGAGGUGCGAAAGCGUGGGGAGCAAACAGG
rnacentral:rRNA from 1 species